rnacentral:tmRNA from 1 species
GGGGGUGUUUGGCUUUGACAGCAUAGAUCUUUGAGCGUGUAAGCAUGUCGAGCGUUGGAUAAUUAGCUCGUAAAUCUGAAUACCCAAACUCUAAAUGGCGAAUCUAACUUUGCCAUGGCUGCCUAAUCAGUGAUUAAGUAGUCAUUAGGGCCGCCGCACAGGUUUGCCUUUUACCAAGUGCCGCCGCCGACUCAAAACAAAUAAAGGUUGCUGCAAGGGAAGGCUGUGACCCUUGCUUAAGACCAUCCAGCUAAGUAUUGCAUUGGUUUGUUCCGUUCCUGUGCAGUGCCGACAAACAAUUCGGAAAUAAACAUGUAGAAAGCGUUUGAAUAUCAUGUUUGGACAGCGGUUCGACUCCGCUCACCUCCACUU